rnacentral:rRNA from 1 species
UUGCGGCUCGUGAACAUCGACACAAGAAACACGGGAGUGGUUCCUUUCCUGAUUCACGCAUGCCACGCAUGCCAGGGGGCGCCCGUGAUUUUUACUGUGACUAAAGAAGUGCGAUCAAAGCAGUCGCAUCGACUUGAAUUAGCAAGCAUGGGAUAACAAAGGAGCAGCCAUUAGGCUACCGUUUCGGCUUUUGUUGGUUUUAAAGGUCUAUUGGAGAUUAUGGAGGCUGUGCGACAAGCGCCACGUGCCGCGUUUCUACCGGCACCGGCGCCUUCCCACGGGUUUCGCCCGCGUCUUACGGAGUUUCGGCUCCAG